AACGAACGCUGGCGGCAUGCCUAACACAUGCAAGUCGAACGAGACCUUCGGGUCUAGUGGCGCACGGGUGCGUAACGCGUGGGAAUCUGCCCUUGGGUUCGGAAUAACAGUUAGAAAUGACUGCUAAUACCGGAUAAUGUCUUCGGACCAAAGAUUUAUCGCCCAGGGAUGAGCCCGCGUAGGAUUAGCUAGUUGGUGAGGUAAAGGCUCACCAAGGCGACGAUCCUUAGCUGGUCUGAGAGGAUGAUCAGCCACACUGGGACUGAGACACGGCCCAGACUCCUACGGAGGCAGCAGUGGGGGAAUAUUGGACAAUAGGCGAAAGCCUGAUCCAGCAAUAGCCGCGUGAGUGAUG
rnacentral:rRNA from 1 species